CAGAAAUCAUUACAUCGGCUGGAGGAAAUACAGGUUCAGAGAGUUCUAUUUCAGGAGUCCCCACUGAAGCACAAGAUAGCCAAAGCACAGGAGGGAAAACAGAUUCCACUUCAGUAGCAGCUGAAGUCACAACCAGUGCCCACAUACCCCAGCCAG